UACGUAGGGUCCGAGCGUUGUCCGGAAUUACUGGGCGUAAAGAGCUCGUAGGUGGUUUGUCGCGUUGUUCGUGAAAACUCACAGCUUAACUGUGGGCGUGCGGGCGAUACGGGCAGACUUGAGUACUGCAGGGGAGACUGGAACUCCUGGUGUAGCGGUGGAAUGCGCAGAUAUCAGGAGGAACACCGGUGGCGAAGGCGGGUCUCUGGGCAGUAACUGACGCUGAGGAGCGAAAGCGUGGGGAGCGAACAGG
rnacentral:rRNA from 1 species